GCUGGGCAUGGUGGUGCACACCUGUAAUCCCAGCAAUUUGGGAGGCUGAGGCAGGAGGAUUGCAAGUUCAAAGCCAGCCUCAG
rnacentral:sRNA from 1 species